rnacentral:rRNA from 1 species
UGCAAGUCGAGGGGUAACGGAAGUAGCUUGCUACUAGACGACGACCGGCGCACGGGUGAGUAACGCGUAUGUAAUCUGCCUUGUACAGAGGGAUAGCCCAGAGAAAUUUGGAUUAAUACCUCAUAGUAUUACUGGAUCGCAUGAUUUGGUAAUUAAAGCUCCGGCGGUACAAGAUGAACAUGCGUGACAUUAGCUAGUUGGUAAGGUAACGGCUUACCAAGGCUACGAUGUCUAGGGGUUCUGAGAGGAUGAUCCCCCACACUGGUACUGAGACACGGACCAGACUCCUACGGGAGGCAGCAGUGAGGAAUAUUGGUCAAUGGACGCAAGUCUGAACCAGCCAUCCCGCGUGAAGGAUGACUGCCCUAUGGGUUGUAAACUUCUUUUAUAUGCAAAUAAACCUACUUUCGUGAAAGUAGCUGAAGGUAGCAUAUGAAUAAACACCGGCUAACUCCGUGCCAGCAGCCGCGGUAAUACGGAGGGUGUAAGCGUNAUCCGGAUUUAUUGGGUUUAAAGGGUAC